GUGCUCGCUUCCACAGCACAUAGGCUAAAACUGGCACAAUGCAGAGGAGCUUAGCAUGGCCCCUGCGUAAGGAUGACGCACAAAUUCUUGAAGCGCUCCAUAUUUUA